UAUGACACCAUUGUCCCUCCUUAAUCUAAUAUUAAACCAAAAUUGUUUCACCCACCAUUAUAAUUAUACUCUUCUUUUAAUACCUAAAUAAACCUUAUCUUUGAUAAUUUAUCCUACUAAAUUAUAUCCAAACUUUUCUCUUCCUAACUCCAUUGAUUUAUUCUAAUUUUUUUUUUUAACUAUACUAUGAAUCAAAAAAAUUGGCUCACAUUAUUGGCAACCAUUGGGUGCAAACCUAAGAAUCUUUUACUUUGUAACUUCUACUUCAUAAAAAUAUUAUAAGAUUUAAAUGAUUAGAAUUAUUUGUCACAAGUAUAGUAGGAAGGCAACCAUUGUAGAUGCAAGCUCCUUG
rnacentral:lncRNA from 1 species